AUCAUGCAAGUUCGAGCGCAGGAAACCGUCUGAACCCUUCGGGGGGACGACGGCGGAAUGAGCGGCGGACGGGUGGGUAACACGUAAAGAACCUGCCCAUAGGUCUGGGAUAACCACGAGAAAUCGGGGCUAAUACCGGAUGUGUCAUCGGACCGCAUGGUCCGCUGAUGAAAGGCGCUUCGGCGUCGCCCAUGGAUGGCUUUGCGGUGCAUUAGCUAGUUGGUGGGGUAACGGCCCACCAAGGCGACGAUGCAUAGCCGACCUGAGAGGGUGAUCGGCCACACUGGGACUGAGACACGGCCCAGACUCCUACGGGAGGCAGCAGUAGGGAAUCUUCCACAAUGGACGAAAGUCUGAUGGAGCAACGCCGCGUGAACGAUGAAGGCUUUCGGGUCGUAAAGUUCUGUUGUAAGGGAAGAACAAGUGCCGCAGGCAAUGGCGGCACCUUGACGGUACCUUGCGAGAAAGCCACGGCUAACUACGUGCCAGCAGCCGCGGUAAU
rnacentral:rRNA from 1 species